rnacentral:rRNA from 1 species
GGCUCAGGACGAACGCUGGCGGCGUGCUUAACACAUGCAAGUCGAACGAGGAUAAUGACUCGGUGUAUUCGAGUGGCGGACGGGUGAGUAACGCGUGAGCAAUCUGUCCUUAAGAGGGGGAUACCAACUGGAAACAGUUGCUAAUACCGCAUAAGACCACGGCCUCACAUGGGGCUGAGGUAAAAAGAAGGAAUUCGCUUAAGGGUGAGCUCGCGUCUGAUUAGGCAGUUGGCGGGGUAACGGCCCACCAAACCGACGAUCAGUAGCCGACCUGAGAGGGUGAUCGGCCACAUUGGGACUGAGACACGGCCCAGACUCCUACGGGAGGCAGCAGUGGGGAAUAUUGGGCAACGGGCGACCAAGCCUGACCCAGCAACGCCGCGUGAGGGAAGAAGGUUUUCGGAUUGUAAACCUCUGUCCUGAAGGACGAAGGAAGUGACGGUACUUCAGGAGGAAGCCCCGGCUAACUACGUGCCAGCCGCGGC